AUAUUGGUUUCAAACGCCCCAUUCGGAAUAGAAGUCACCGCAACAAAGCAGCAUUGUUGCAAAAAUGGAGUCGAUGCUUGUCAUCAUACGCCUAGCAUUGUGCUUAUUGGCACUUUUUCAACUCUCCUCUGGCUCUGGAGUCAACGUGUGGCCAAAACCAAGGACCUUCUCAUGGCCCAACCCUCAGGCCACGCUGCUCUCACCUGCCUUCACUAUUGCUGCUCCCAACCACACCUUCCUCUCCUCCGCCGUCGAACGCUACCUCCGCCUUGUCCACACCGAGCACCAUUUUCCCCUUGUCAACCCCUCCGUCAACCUCACCCCCUCCAAUCUUCCUCCUCUCCGCACCCUUUCCAUCGUCGUCUCCGACCUCAAAGCCCCGCUCCAACAUGGAGUGGAUGAGUCCUACAGCCUCUCCAUUCCCACUUCGGGGCCAGCUAAACUUACGGCGAAUACCGCGUGGGGUGCCAUGAGGGGCCUCGAGACGUUCUCGCAGCUCGUCUGGGGCUAUCCCUCUGUGGUGGCGGUGGGCGUGUACGUUUGGGAUGCUCCGCUCUUUGGGCACCGAGGAAUUAUGCUGGAUACGUCUAGGAACUAUUACCCGGUGAAGGAUAUAUUGAGGACGAUCGGGGCGAUGAGUGCCAACAAGCUCAACGUGUUCCAUUGGCACAUCACGGAUUCCCAUUCGUUCCCGCUGGUGGUGCCGUCGGAACCUGAUCUGGCGGCCAAGGGGUCUUAUGGCCCUGAUAUGCAGUACUCCCCCAAUGAUAUAAAGACGAUUGUGCAGUUUGGUUUGGAGCACGGCGUUAGAGUUCUCCCGGAGAUCGAUUCCCCCGGCCAUACGGGAUCUUGGGCGGAAGCUUACCCAGAGAUUGUGGCAUGUGCAAACAUGUUCUGGUGGCCUGCAGGAAGCGAGUGGGCAGACCGGCUUGCCUCUGAACCAGGAACCGGCCAUUUGAACCCCUUGAACCCCAAGACGUACCAAGUCUUGAAAAACGUCAUCCACGACGUGGCCGAGUUAUUCCCAGAGCCAUUCUUCCACGCCGGAGCGGAUGAGAUCAUUCCUGGUUGUUGGAAAGCCGAUCCAGCCAUCAAUUUCUUCCUCUCAAAUGGUGGAACUCUCAGUCAGCUCCUGGAGAUCUUUGUCAACUCAACUCUCCCUUAUAUUCUAUCCCUUAACCGAACUGUGGUUUAUUGGGAGGAUGUUCUGCUUGAUGACAAUGUCAAGGUCCCAACAACAGUUCUUCCAAAAGAGCAUACAAUUUUACAAACUUGGAAUAAUGGCCCUAGCAAUACCAAGCGGAUUGUUUCUUCUGGGUACAAGACCAUUGUGUCCUCUUCAGACUUCUAUUAUCUGGAUUGUGGGCAUGGUGACUUUCUGGGGAAUGACAGCCAAUAUAUAGCCGGUGCUAAGUCUAAAGAUGGUGGCUCAUGGUGUGGACCUUUCAAGACAUGGCAGACCAUAUAUAACUAUGAUAUAACGUAUGGGUUGAGCAAGGAGGAGGCCAAACUUGUGUUAGGUGGGGAGGUGGCACUGUGGUCCGAGCAAGCAGAUCGUACGGUUUUAGAUGCAAGGAUUUGGCCUAGAGCUUCAGCAAUGGCAGAGACACUCUGGUCUGGUAACCGGGAUGAGAUGGGUAUGAGGAGGUAUGCAGGGGCAACAGAUAGGUUGAACGAGUGGAGGUAUAGAAUGGUGCAAAGAGGUGUCAAAGCUGAACCGCUUCAGCCACUUUGGUGCGUUAGGAACCCAGGAAUGUGCAACACAGUUCAAGGCUUCUAGCUGGCUAUUUCUUUCUUGUAUGUUAAAAAUGUCAACGACCUUGCAUCUAUUUCUUGGUCAAGAUAGAUGAAAAAAAAAAACCCAAAUCUUGUAAUCGAUUUAUUUCUUCAGUUUCUUCAAUUUACAAUGGACAACAAGCUCCAAUUUGUGGCAUUCAAAAGUGUUGGUGGUGUUAAUUGACAAUGGGAUAGAUUGAGGUCAGACUAACCGAUGGGGCUUCUCUUUAUUCAUUUUGCCGAUCAUUGUUGAGGAAUGGUUUUCCAGAAGAAGUCAGGACUAGAAAUCUGUUGAGCAUUUAUUGCUGCAAAAUCUUUUUGAAAAGACAUAUCAAGCAUCCUAUAAUGUUCAAGCGCGGCUUUCUUGCACUUGAUUGGGAGAGACUUCUGAGCACUCCCAAGUUACUUCCAAGCAUGCUAAAUCACUUCCGAGCAUUUGGUCGGGCCUUUACUAGGGGCCAUGGGAAAACAGAUUUCAAGCACUUGCUCGGUUUCGCAUCACAGUGUGGGAAUGAACUCCGAGCUUUAGCUUGGAUGCGAAGUAGGGCAGGGAACAUGUUCCAAGUACUUGCUUAAACUUGUAAUGUUUUGCAUGUUGUUUGCCUAUUGCCCGGUUUGCCUUAUGCCUUGCUUGCCCAUCUCAUUGCUCACUUAUGCUCAGUCCUCGCCUAGUGUUUUGAUUGCUUAUCCAUUUACUCAUCAAACGAUUUGCUCGUUUACCCUUGCUCGCCCGGUAAGACUUUCCCUUAUUCCCGAGAUUAAAAUGGUUGAUACGGUUAAGUUGCUACCAUGUGAGGUGUUACUACUACUGUUGGACGCAUUUCUCACAUCAUUGAUCAAGAGGAAAUCCGGUUGAUGGGAGGAUUGUUUGGGUUGUUUGCGGAUAAAUGUGCAUAGAAUUGUUUGUUUGCUUAGUAGAUUGUGUAUUUCACUAUUUGCUUA